UUUCCCAACAACUUUCAGAGGGACAAGGGCCUAGAGGAUGACAGAGGGGCCACAAAUGCUUGUGUAAAUAAAUGAAAUCUCCCCACUGGCUCCCAUAUGGCUGGAGGCAGAAAGUGGGAAAUCUCCUAAGAAGGGCUAACAGUGGUUGUCCUCCACGACAGGGAUUCAAGGCCUUCCACAGAACCUAGGUUUAGAGUCACAAGAGGCCUUCCUAGACAGGAGGCAACUAGUCCUAUGUCACCAAGCAAGUCAGUGGAAAAAUCAGGGACUGAAACCUAGGUUUCCUAUCUUCCUUGUUUCUCAAAGCAAUAGCUGUGGACUAGAGGCAUUAGCAUCACCUGG